GGGGACAUGUGUGGGGCCAGAGUGGA
rnacentral:piRNA from 1 species